CUGCAAGUAAAGAUGGAGCCGAAAGGAUAGAAAUAAAAAAAGUAAUAUUUGGUACCUCGAGGCUCGAGCUAAUGAUCUUAUUCAUAUGACUGUUAAGCAUUUAAGGGAAUAACAAAAAGGAUCCUCCAGCACAUCCUUAUUUGUUCCCGGCCAAUAACCCAUCAUCCCCGACCUUUAAUAUCAUAAAAGUACCAAGAAAAUCAAACGAGUUCUUGAUGAGCGGUUAGUUUUUGACCGUCAUUUAACCCAAUUAGCUAAAUCUCACGAAUCGUACACCUUAUUAUCAACAAAGUCAAUGAACCAAAAUAAAGUUUGACGUAAAAAUACAUCGGUAGGGGAGCGUUCCGCCUGCAUAAUCUAUCAUGGUCAGUGUAGAGCCUCAUUCGAUAAUAAAAAUUCAACAAGAUAUGAGGAUUAGUAGUGAUCGGUUGUUAUUUCACUUUGGUUGAAAUAUCAAGAAAUUUAAUUCAUGAAAAAUUUGGAAUAUAUCAAGUAUUGUGGAUUUUGUUAUUAGUCUUUUUUUUUCUUGACUGAUGUGUGUUUGUCACGUAUGAAAACUAAACGGCACAUAACUAAAAUGUUAAGGGUCUUAACUGACCAACUCCUGAUGUCGAUAAUAGAUUUAUUAAAGAGUAGAAACUAGAGCUGAACAAAAAGACCGGUCCUAAAAAGCCCAUCUGGAUAAGCCCGAUAAAAAGCCCGGAUAAAGCCUGGAUAUGAAAAGCCCGGACCGGUCCAGGUCUGGCCUGCAAGUCCUUACAAGGCCUUAAUUUUACAACAAAAAUCUGGCCCGGUCCGGCCUGGAAAAUAACCAGGCCUGAUUAUUACCCGGAUAAAAGCCUGGUAGCCCGGUUAGCCUGGUGAAUACCUGUGCAUUUAUUAUUUUCAAUCACUCAGUUGUUACUUAUUUGUUUACUCACUUACAUCCACUGAUUAACUCAAGUCCUACUCAUCGUCUCUGUCUCGUCCCAUCCUCAACACAAUCAUCUAAAAAAAAAACUCUCAGCCCCCUUCAAGUUCAAUGCUUACCAAUGAAUCAAUUUCACAAUAUAUCUAGACAUCAAGUGGACAACCCAUCUCUCAUGUAUACAUUGCAGUGCCUCACGAGACCUAUUUCUCAAAGCAGAAAGAUUAUCAGAUGCCACAAUAUUACAUCGUUGAUCAUCCCGAUGCCGGGGAGAGCAACCAAAUGAGCUUGGAAUGAACUGAUGUUCAACACUUGGACCAGUAUGGCCUAGGCUUCAGAUCUGUAUUUAACAUUUAACUUUUUGCGGAGAGCUGUAUAUAAUUAUCUCACAAAACAAAAGCCCGGGUCAAAGCCCGGUUAGACUGGGCUGAUCCAUCGGGCUGGCUGCGGUCCUUCAUUCUUCAGCAUUUAUCAGGUCUGGCCCGGCCCGGUAAUCAAAAAAGCCUGGUCCAGUUAAAUCAGAAAAAGCCCGGGCUUUUAAAGGACCGGUCCUGGGCCUAGCAGGCCGGUCCUUUUGUUCAGCUUUAGUAGAAACCACUCUCUUAUAGGGAUGGGCGCAAGGGCACUUCGGGGUUGGAGAGUGUUAUCCCCGACCUCGAUCCCCGAAUUCAAUACCCUCCCCGCCCCCGCCCCGAACCCCGAACGGGGAUUAUUUUCCUCCCCCGAUCCCCGCCCCGAACGGGGAACGAUGAUCCCCGCGGGGAUUCGGGAAAUUUUAAUUUUUAAUAAAAAAAAUAAUAACUUUAUAAUAUAUAAUAUAUUUUUAAUAAAAAAACAAACUACUAAAUCCUAAU
rnacentral:lncRNA from 1 species